AUGUGCCUGACAGGACCACAGACAUUCAGAGUGACCUGGGGGUGUGACGGUGAAACAAGAUCAUCAAGAGUGAAAGGUGGGCAUCAUCUUAAAAUAAGCAGUCUCAAACCUGAUGAAAAGUACCAGUUCAACAUGGCUACAGAGGGAGAAGAUGGAAGCCAAAGCAGAUGGAUCUCAGCAUCCCUAUCCACAGGUACAGUAGGCCUCAGCAUCCCUAUCCACAGGUACAGUAGGCCUCAGCAUCCCUAUCCACAGUUAGUAGGCCUCAGCAUCCCUAUCCACAGGUACAGUAGGCCUCAGCAUCCCUAUCCACAGGUACAGUAGGCCUCAGCAUCCCUAUCCACAGGUACAGUAGGUCUCAGCAUCCCUAUCCACAGGUACAGUAGGCUAACUUGUGUUUUUAUGCAGACUACAUCAGUCAUUCAUUACUAGAGACAUGUUUGGACUCAAAAACAGCACAACCUCUAUUCUAAACAAAUAUUGUUUUUUGUUCCAGUGGUCCCACCCAGAGAUUUAAAGAUAGACCAUUUGGAAGAGACCUCCUUCACUCUCCACUGGUCGAAGGCUGAAGGGAUGGAGAAAGUCCCACAGCGCUUCUUCAUAUCCAACUGCAUCCCAGGAACAGACCCUCUAGCAGCCGUUACUGACGACUGCCACAAAACCUUCUCAAACCUGCAUCCUGGCACCGAGUACACUGUUAG
rnacentral:lncRNA from 13 species